rnacentral:rRNA from 1 species
GUUAAGAAAAAUGACUGCUAACACCGCAUAACAUUGCGAUGCCGCAUGACAUCGUAAUCAAAUAUUUAUAGGUAUGAGAUGGGCCCGCGUCUGAUUAGCUAGUUGGUGGGGUAAUGGCCUACCAAGGCGACGAUCAGUAGCCGGCUUGAGAGAGUGACCGGCCACAUUGGGACUGAGACACGGCCCAAACUCCUACGGGAGGCAGCAGUGGGGAAUAUUGCACAAUGGGGGAAACCCUGAUGCAGCGACGCCGCGUGAGUGAAGAAGUAUUUCGGUAUGUAAAGCUCUAUCAGCAGGGAAGAUAAUGACAGUACCUGACUAAGAAGCCCCGGCUAACUACGUGC